GACGAACGCUGGCGGCGUGCUUAACACAUGCAAGUCGAACGAAGUGGCGAACGGGUGAGUAACGCGUAAUCAACCUGCCCUUCAGAGGGGGACAACAGUUGGAAACGACUGCUAAUCCCGCAUACUGAAGGAGGGGAUUGCGUCUGAUUAGCUAGUUGGAGGGGUAACGGCCCACCAAGGCGAUGAUCAGUAGGCGGUCUGAGAAGGUGAACGGCAACAAUGGGAAUGAGGCACGGGCCAGAAUGCUACGGGAGGCAGCAGGGGGGAAACAUCGGCAAUGGAGGGAAGUCUGGCGGAGCAACGCCGCGUGGGUGAUGACGGCCUUCGGGUUGUAAAGCUCUGUUAAUCGGGACGCGGUACCGGAAUAGAAAGCCACGGCUAACUACGUGCCAGCAGCCGCGGUAAUAC
rnacentral:rRNA from 1 species